UUAAUCAAGAAUGAAAGUUGGGGGCUCGAAGACGAUCAGAUACCGUCCUAGUCUCAACCAUAAACGAUGGCGACCAGGGAUCGGCGGAUGUUGCUUUUAGGACUCCGCCGGCACCUUAUGAGAAAUCAAAGUUUUUGGGUUCCGGGGGGAGUAUGUGAAGACGAUCAGAUACCGUCCUAGUCUCAACCAUAAACGAUGCCGACCACGGAUCUGCGGAUGUUGCUUUUUGGACUCCGCCGGCACCUUGUGAGAAAUCAAAGUUUAUGGGUUCCGGGGGGAGUAUGGUUGCAAGGCUGAAUUUUAUAGGAAUUGACGGGAGGGCACCACCAGGAGUGGAUCCUGCGGCUUAAUUUGACUCAACACGGGGAAACUUACCAGGUCCAAACAUAGUAAGGAUUGACAGACUGAGAGCUCUUUCUUGAUUAUAUGGGUGGUGGUGCAUGGCCGUUCUUAGUUGGUGGAGCGAUUUGUCUGGUUAAUUCCGUUAACGAACGAGACCUCAGCCUGCUAACUAGCUAUGCAAAGGUAUCCUUUCGCGGCCAGCUUCUUAGAGGGACUACAGGUGUUUAGGCCGUGGAAGUUUGAGGCAAUAAUAGGUUUCUGAUGCCCUUAGAUGUUCUGGGCCGCACGCGCGCUACACUGAUGUAUUCAACGAGUUGAUAGCCUUGGCCGACAGGCUCGGGUAAUCUUUGAAAUUUCAUCGUGAUGGGGAUAGAUCAUUGCAAUUUUUGGUCUUCAACGAGGAAUUCCUAGUAAGCGCGAGUCAUCAGCUCUCGUUGGCUACAUCCCUGCCCUUUGUACACACCACCCGUCGCUCCUACCGAUUGAAAGAUCCGGUGAAAUGUUCGAAUAGCGGCGACGUGGGCGGUUCGCUGCCCACGACGUUGCGAGAAGUUUGAACCUUAUUAUUUAGAGGAAGGAGAAGUCGUAACAAGGUUUCCGUCUCGGAUCGCGGCGAUGUGGGCUGUCCGCUCCCUGCGACAUCGCGAGAAGUCCAUUGAACCUAAUCAUUUAGAGGAAGGAGAAGUCGUAACAAGGUUUCCGUAGGUGAACCUGCAGAAGGAUCAUUGUCGAAACCUGCAAGGCAGAACGACCCGCGAACUUGUUUAAAAACUGGGGAGCGGUGCGGCCGGGAUUGAACCUGCAGAAGGAUCAUUGUGGAAACCUGCAAGGCAGAACGACUCGCGAACUAGUUUAAAAAUUCAGGAGAGGUGCGGCCAGGAUGCUUCGGCCUCCGUCGUGCGACUUCCUCCAUUAUCCCUGACGCGCCCGCUCGCGUGCGUUCCGGGUCAUUAACGAACCACGGCGCGAAAAGUGCCAAGGAAUACUAAAUUGAAAGCCUGCCCCUCGCACCCCAUUUGCGGCGUGCGCGGGGGACUUGUGCUUCUUUUGAAACACAAAUGACACUCGGCAAUGGAUAUCUCGGCUCUCGUAUCCAUGAGGAACGUAGCGAAAUGCGAUACUUGGUGUGAAUUGCAGAAUCCCGUGAACCAUCAAGUCUUUGAACGCAAGUUGCGCCCGAAGCCAUUAGGCCGAGUGCACGUCUGCCUGGGCGUCACGCAUCGCGUCGCCGCCGCACACCGCUCCCAUUCUCAUGGUUGCGGUGCUGUCGUGGGACGGAUACUGGCCUCCCUGCAAGUUGCGCCUGAAGCCAUUAGGCCAAGGGCACGUCUGCGUGGGCGUCAUGCAUCGCGUCACCCCCGCACACCGCACCCAUUCUCAUGGUCACAAUGUUGUUGUUGGACGGAUACUAGCCUUUCGUGCACCUCGAGCGUGCGGUUGGUCUAAAUGUGAGUCCACAACUACGGACGUCCCGGCAAGUGGUGGUUGAAACUAAACUCUCGUAAUGUCGCAGCUCCAACCCGUCGCACGUUUGAGCUCCCGAUCCUUAUCGCGCUUAGGCGCUCCAACCGCGACCCCAGGUCAGGAAGGACUACCCGCUGAGUUUAAGCAUAUCAAUAAGCGUAGGAGAAAAAACUUACAAGGAUUCCCUUAGUGAUAGCGAGCGAACCUGGAACAGCCCAGCGUUAGAAUCAAGCAGCUGCGUCGUCCGAAUUGUAAUCUGGAGAAGCGUCCUCAGUGGCAGACCGGGCCCAUUUCCCCUGGAACGGGGGGCCAGAGAGGGUGAGAGCCUCAUUGUGCUCGGACCUUGUCGCACCACGAGGCGAUGUCUACGAGUCGGGUUAUUUGGGAAUGCAGCCCAAAUCGGGCGGUGAAUUUCGUCCAAGGCUAAAUACGGGCGAGAGACUGAUAGAGAACAAGUACCACGAGGGAAUGAUGAAAAGGACUUUGAAAAGAGAUUCAAAGAGUUCUAGAAAUUGUGUAGAGGGAAGCGGAUGGGGGCCGGCGAUGCACCCUGGUCAGAUGUGGAACGGUGUUGAGCCGGUCUGCUGAUCGAUUCGGGGUGUGGACCAGUAUGGAUUGGGGGGCAGCCAAAUCCCGGGAUUAUGAUAUGCUCGUGAAAUGUCGUCUCCUUGAUUGUGGUAGGAGUUGAAAAGAGAGUCAAAGAGUGCUUGAAAUUUUUGGGAGGGAAGCGGAUGGGUGCCAGCGAUGCGCCCCAAUCGAUGUGGAAAGGUGUUGAGCCGGUCCACCGAUCGAUUCGGAGCGUGGACCAGCGUAGGGUGGGGUAAAGCCCGGGCUAUUGAUACGCUCGUGGAACGUCAUCUCCUUGGUUGUGGUAGGCUGCACGCGCCUCUAGCAUGCUUCAUUAUCUGCAUGCUCCGGACGUUGGCAUGUGGGCUCCCUAUUCAACUCGUCUUAAAAUACGGACCAAGGAGUCUUACAUGUGUGCGAGUCAACGGGCGAGUAAACCCGUAAGGCCUACAGAAGCUGAUUGGUGGGAUCUUCCAUAGGGGUGCACCACCGACUGACCUUGAUUUUCUGUGAAGGGUUCGAGUGUGAGCAUACCUGUCGGGACCUGAAAGAUUGUGAUCUAUGCCUGAGCGGGGCGAAGACAGAGGAAACUCUCGUGGAGGCCCGUAGAGAUAGUGACGUGCAAAUCGUCCGUCUGACUUGGGUAUAGGGGCGAAAGACUAAUAAACCGUCUAGUAGCUGGUUCCCACCGAAGUUUCCCUCGAAGUUUCCCUUAGGAUAGCUGGAGCUCGCGUGCGAGUUCAAUCAGGUAAAGCCAAUGAUUGGAGGCAUCAAGGGCGAAACUCCCUUGGCCUAUUCUCAAACUUUAAAUAGGUAGGACGAUGUGGCUUCUAUGUUGAGCCGCGCCACGGAAUCUAGAGCUCCAAGUGGGCCAUUUUUGUUAAGCAGAACUGGCGAUGCGGGAUGAACUAGAAGGCGGGUUAUGGUGCAAAAAUGCGUGCUAACCUAGAUCCCACAAAGGGUGUUGUUCGAUUAAGACAGCAAGACGGUGGUCAUGGAAGUCAAAAUCCGCAAAGGAGUUUGUAACAACUUAGCUGCCGAAUCAUCUAGCCCCAAAAAUGGAUAGCGUUUAAGCGUGCGACCUGCACCCGACCGUCAGGGAAAGUUCCAGGCCCCGAUGAGUUGGAGGGCCCGACGGUCACUGAAAAACCUUGGGCGUGAGCCUUGGAGGAGCGGCCGUUGGUGCAGAUCUUGGUGGUAGUAGCUAAUAUUCAAAUGAGAACUUUGAAGGAUGAAGAGGGGAAAGGUUCCAUGUGAACAGCACUUGCACACGGGCUAGUCGAUCCUAAGGGUCAGGGGAAGCCCGACAGAUAGCGCGUUCCGCACAUACUCCGAAAGGUAAUAGGGUUAAUAUUCAAGAACCGGGACAUGGCGGUUGACGGCAACGUUUGGAAGUCUGGAGACGUCGGCGGGGGCCUCGGGAAGAGUUAUCUUUUCUGUUUAACAGCCUGCCCAACCUGGAAACGACUCAAUCGGAGGUAGGGUCCAGCGGCUGGAAGAUGGUACGUCGCGUGGUGUCCCAUGCGCCCUCGGCGGCCCUUGAAAAUUCGGACGACCGAGUGCCGUCCAAGCCCGUUCGUACUCAUAAUCGCAUCAGGUCUCCAAGGUGAACAACCUCUGGUCGAUGGAACAAUGUAGGCAACAGAAGUCCGCAAAAUUGAUCCGUAACUUGGAAACGGCUCAGUCGGAGGUAAGGUCCAGUGGCUGGAAAAGCACCGCAUGUCGUGUGGUGUCCGGUGCGCCCCAGGUGACCCUUGAAAAUCCAUAGGACCGAGUUCCGUCCACGCCCUCUCGUACUCAUAACCGCAUCAGGUCUCCAAGGUGAACAGACUCUGGCUGAUGAAACAAUGUAGGUAAGGGAAGUCGGCAAAAUGGAUCCGUAACUUCAGGAAAAGGAUUGGCUCUGAGCGCAAGGCACAGGGGUCCCAGUCCUGAACCCAUCGGCUGUUGGUGGACUGCUUGAGCAGCUUACCAAGCGAGAAAGGGUUGCCGCAUGCCGGCCGGGCAUCGGACUGGGAACGGUUCCUUCGGGUGCCUUCCUCGGGCGUCGAACAGCCAACUCAGAAAUGGUACGGACAAGGGGAAUCCGACUGUUUUAUUAAAACAAAGCAUUGCGAUGGUCCCUGCGGAUGUUUACGCAAUGUGAUUUCUACCCAAUGCUCUGAAUGUCAAAGUGAAGAAAUUCAACCAAGCGCAGGUAAACGGCGGGAGUAACUAUGACUCUUGUAAGGUAGCCAAAUGCCCCGUUAUCUAAUUAGAGACGCGCAUGAAUCGAUUAACCAGAUUCCCACGGUCCCUGUCUACUAUCCAGCGAAACCACAGCCAAGGGAACGGGUUUGGCAGAAUCAGCAGGGAAAGAAGACCAUGUUGAGCUUUACUCUAGUCCGAAUUUGUGAAAUGACUUGAAAGGUGUAGUAUAAGUGGGAGCUGAAAGGCGAAAGUGAAAUACCACUACUCUUAACGUUAUUUUACUUAUUCCGUGAAUCGGAAGCAGGGCACUUCCCUCUUUUUGGACCCAAGGCUUGCUUGCAACCCGAUCCGGGCGGAGGACAUUGUCAGGUGGGGGGUUUGGCUGGGGCGGCCCAUCUGUUAAAAGAUAAUGCAAGUGUCCUCAGAAGAGCUCAACGAGAACAGAAAUCUCGUGUGGAAUAGAAGGGUAAAAGCUCGUUUGAUUCUGAUUUCCAGUACGAAUACUAACCGUGAAAGCGUGGCCAAACGAUCCUUUAAAUCUUUGGAAUUCGAAGCUGGAGGUGUUAGAAAAGUUACCACAGGGACAAUUACCUUGUGGCAGCCAAGCGUUCAUAUCGAUGUUGCUCUUUGAUCCUUCGAUGUCAGCUCUUCCUAACAUUGUGACGCAGAAUUCACCAAGUGUUGGAUUGUUCACCCAACAGUAGGGAACGUGACCUGGGUUUGGACCGAUUGAGACAGGUUAGUUUUACCCUACUGAUGACAGUGUCGCAAUAGUAAUUCAACCUAGUACGAGAGGAACCGUUGAUUCUCACAAUUGGUUAUCGCGCUUGGUUGAAAAGCUAGUGUCGUGAAGCUACCAUGCGCUGGAUUACGACUGAACGCCUGUAAGUCAGAGUCCAGGCUAGAAGCGACGCAUGCGCCCGCUAUCCGCUUGUCGACCCACAGUAGGGGCCUUUGGCCCCCAAGGGCACCGGUCGUUGGCUAAGUCAGCGCGGCGGAAGAGCCGCGGUGGCCGCCUUGAAGUACUAUUUCCAUCGAGUGGCGGGUAGAAUCCAUUGCAGAUGACUUAAAUACGCGACAGGGUAAUGUAAGUGGCAGAGUGGCAUUGCUGCCACGAUCCACUGAGAUUCAGCCCUUAGUCGCUCCUAUUCGUCCCUCCCCCUCCAAUCCAAUCAUUUUCUAACUUUUCCGUUAAGAGGUUCACUCCUACCUUGGUGCUAUAUUAUAUUAAGUGUUGGAAAAAUCGAACAAGUCCUCAAAGACCUUGGAACGUAUACUAUUUGUGCAUUAAGUGGACAAUGUGACUUGACACUUAGUCACGUCGAGGGAAAUCUCCUACCUUGAUGCUAUAUUAUACUAAUUGUUGGAAAAAUCAAACAAGUCCUCAAUAACUUGGAACGUAUACUAUUUAUGCAUUAAGUGGACAAUGUGACUUGACACUUAGUCACUUCGAGGGAAAUACUAAACCAAAUUACACUACUAGAGGAUUUUCGGGGUGUCGCUUGAGAGGUCGAGGCCUAUGCCAAGGUUUUUCGGGGCGUGGCUUGAGAGGCCAAGGCCUAUGCCACGAGCGCAAGGCAUGGCCAUGGCAUGAGUUUGGACGUCCAAAGACAUGGCAGGGCGUGGCCAUGGCACGCUCAAGGACGUGUGAAUACGUAACAGGACAUAGCAGGACACGGGUCGGGACGUGUCAGGAAGUCGCAGGACAUGGCAGGGCAUGGACAUGGCACGAUCAGGACCUGUCAGGACGCGUCAGGACCUGGCCAUGGCACGUGUCAGGACGCGUAUGGACAUGGCAGUGCGUGGCCAUGGCACGAGUCAGGACAUCGCAGGACAUGGCAGCGCAUGGCCAUGGCACGAGUCAGGACGUCGGGAUGCGUCAGGACAUGGCCAUGACAAGUGUCAAGACGCGUAUUGACAUGGCAGUGGCACAUGUAAGGACACAUUAGGACACAGCAGUGUGUGGCCAUGGCAUGAGUCAGGACGUCGCAGGACAUGGCAUGAGUCAGGACGUCGCAGGCCGCGAUAAGAUAUAGCCAUGGUAUGUGUCAGGACGCAUUAGGACAUGGCCAUAGCACGUGUCAGGACACAUCAGGACAUGGCAGGGCAUGGCCAUGACCCAAGUCGGGACGUUGCCGGACAUGGCAGGGCGUGACAAUGGCACGAGUUAAGACGUCGAAGGACGCGUCAGGACAUGGCCAAGCACGUGUCAGGAAGCGUUAGGACAUGGCCGGGCCUGUCCAUGGCAUGACUCAUGACGUCGCAGGACUUGGCAGGGCGUGGCCAUGGCACGAGUCAGGUCGUCGUAGGACGCGUCAGGACAUGUCCAUGGUACAUGUCAGGAAGCAUCAGGACAUGGCCAUGGCACCUGUCAGGACGCGGUAGGACAUGGCAGAGCGUGGCCAUGGCACGAGUCGGGAUGUCGCAGGACAUGACAGGGCGUGGCUUGUCACGAGUCAGGACGUCGCCGGACGCAUCAGGACAUGGCCAUGGCACAUGUCAGGGCAUGGCCAUGGCAUGAGCCAGGAUGUCGCACGACAUGGCAGGAUAUAGCCAUGAUACAUGUCAGGACGUGUCAGGACCAAGCCGCACCACGUUGCACCAAGGCGCACCACGUCUCUCCAAGCCGCACCACGUCUCUCCAAGCCGCACCACGUCACUCCAAGCCUCACCACUUCGCACUAUGUCUAUUGCUAGCCAAUGCUUAGAAACAUGUCAAGCGCAAUGAUGUUGGUGAUCGUUGGCGGCUAUGGUGGAAAGUCGGGGUGGUUCGAGAAGUAGCGUCCCGCGACGGUCGAUCGACGCUUGGUGGUUUUGGGAGAUUGCUUCAAAUCCUAAUCACUUGUCGUGGUUGGGAAACAUGUCAAGCGCAAUGAUGUUGGAGGUCGUUGGUGGCGGUGGUGGAAAGUCGCGGUGGUUCGAGCGGAAUCCACUGGCGACGGUUGGUUGAUGCUUUGUGGUUGGUGACGGUUUUUUCAAAUCAGAAUCCCUUGUUGUGGUUUAGACAAUGGAGGUGCCUAGUGCUUAUUGGAGGUUGGUCAUCUAUACACUUUUAUAAUAAUAUUAUGUAUUUUUCCUAUUUUUUAAUAUAUUAUUAGUAAGUAUUAUACAUUUUUUGUUAUUUUAAAUUAUUUUUAUAUCUCUUUUUAAUAAAAAUAUUUAAUUUGUUAUAUGUUAUACUAUUACAAGAUGUAUUGGGGCGAAGCUCAGUACUUGUUGAUCGCCAUUGGAUGUUGCGGGCAAAAUCGGGAGGCGACAUCGCUCGUUGCGGCUGAUGGCUUUUGACAAUAGAACGGCAAAGCCUCUUGCAAGUAGCGCUGCAAGGUGCUGCGCAUAUGGGGCGAAGCUUAGUAAGUUGUUGAUUUCCAUUGGUUGUUAUGGGUUGUUUCUGGAAUCUCUCGUGGCGGUUGAUGGCCUUCGACAACGAACAGCGGAGCUUCGUGCAAGUAGCGCCGCAAGGUGCCGUGCGCACGGGGCGAAGCUUAGUAGAUAUCGAUUACCAUCGGUUGUUGCGGGCAACAUCGCUCAUGGCAGUUGAUGGCUUUCAGCAAUGGAACGACGGAGCAUCGUGCAAGUAGCACAGCAAGGUUCCGUGCGCAUGAGGCGAAGCAUAGUAAGUUGCCUAUUGCCAUCGAUUCUUUUGGGUAGUGUCUGUAAACCCUCCUCCGUGGAGGCUUAUGGAUUUUGAAAACGAACGGUGGAGCAUCGUGCAAGUUGCGCCGCAAGGUGACGUGCGCACGAGGCGAAGCUCAGUAGAUAUUCAUUGCCACCGGUUGUUGCGGGAAACAUCGGGAGACGACAUCGCUCAUGGAGAGUGAAGGAUUUUGGCAACAAAAUGGCAAAGUAUCGUGCAAGUAGCGCCGUAAGUUUCCAUGCGCAUGGGGCGAAGCUUACUAAGUUGCUGAUUUCCAUCAAUUGUUGCGGGCAACAUCGAGAGAAGACAUCGCUCAUGGCGGCUGAUGGAUUUUGGAAACAAAAUGGCAAAGCAUCAUGCAAGUAGCGCCGCAAGGUGCCGUGCUCACGGGGCGAAGAUUAGUAAAUUGCCGAUUGCCAUCAGUUGUUGCGGGAAACAUUGGAAGGCAACAUCGCUUGUGGCGGCUGAUGGCUUUUCGCAAUGGAACGACAAAGCAUCGUGCUAGUAGCGGCGCAAGGUUCCAUGUGCAUGGGGCGAAGCUUAGUAAAUUUCCUAUUGCCAUCGGUUGUUGUGGGUUGUGUCUAGCAUUGUUAAACCCCCUAUUCGUGCUUUGCGGGGCUUGUCUUGGCUUUGCAAUGUUGGUAUCGGCAACAACACAUGGCUGCACGUCACGUGUUGGGGCUGGUGUUGGAUUUAUAUCGGCGAGGCACGUGUACGUAUGGCGCAUGAGCGGUGUUCGGCUGGUGUGGCUAGGUUGGAUCCCAGCUCGAGCAGUGACGUCCUAGCUCACAUGCCAUCUCAGUCAUGUCACACGCGAAAAUUAGGGUUGUUUGACGUCGAUUUUCUGUGUUGCAUACCUAAUGCAAAGGCAUUAUCAAGCACAAUUGGUCGCCUUUCGUCCCUCGCGUCCGACGUGCGGGGAGAACCAAAAGCUGUAGUUGUGUCCCAGGUCGUCCUGGCUUCGCCUUACGAUGGCUUGGUCCACGACUUAGCAUGCUCGGGAUCUCGGAUUCGGUAAUCGCAAUGGCACGGGGCCUUCAAUUGCUCCUAUCCGCACAAGGAAUGCUCAUUACGAAUGAUGGUCGUGCUCGCCUUGGACUUGGCUGUGCCCUUUUGGGUCGGCCACGCGCAUGCGACGCCGGCGUCAAUGAGGAAUGCUACCUGGUUGAUCUUGCCAGUAGUCAUAUGCUUGUCUCAAAGAUUAAGCCAUGCAUGUGUAAGUAUGAACAAAUUCAGACUGUGAAACUGUGAAUGGCUCAUUAAAUCAGUUAUAGUUUGUUUGAUGCUAUCUAUGACUCGGAUAACCGUAGUAAUUCUAGAGCAAAUACGUGCAACAAACCUCGACUUCUAGAAGGGAUGCAUUCAUUAGAUAAAUGGUCGACGCGGGCUCUGCCCGUUGCUGCGAUGAUUCAUGAUAACUCAUAGUUUGUUUGAUGGCAUCUACUACUUGGAUAAUCGUAGUAAUUCUGGAGCUAUUACAUGCAACAAACCCCGACUUCUGGAAGGGAUGCAUUUAUUAGAUAAAAGGUCGACGCGGGCNNNNNNNNNNNNNNNNNNNNNNNNNNNNNNNNNNNNNNNNNNNNNNNNNNNNNNNNNNNNNNNNNNNNNNNNNNNNNNNNNNNNNNNNNNNNNNNNNNNNNNNNNNNNNNNNNNNNNNNNNNNNNNNNNNNNNNNNNNNNNNNNNNNNNNNNNNNNNNNAGGGAUAGUGGCCUACCAUGGUGGUAACGGGUGACAGAGAAUUAGGGUUCGAUUCCGGAGAGGGAGCCUGAGAAAUGGCUACCACAUCCAAGAUAGGCAGCAGGCGCGCAAAUGACCCAAUCCUGAUACGGAGAGGUAGUGACAAUAAAUAACAAUACCAGGCUUUAUGAGUCUGGUAAUUGGAAUGAGUACAAUCUAAAUCCUUAACAAGGAUCCAUUGGAGGGGAAGUCUUGUGCCAGCAGCCACGGUAAUUACAGCUCAAAUAGCGUAUAUUUAUGUUUUUGUAGUUAAAAAGUUCGUAGUUGGACAUUGGGAUGGGCCGGCCCGUUUGCCUUAGGAGUGUACCGGUCAUCUCGUCCCUUCUGCCGGCGAUGCGCUCCUGGCCUUAAUUGUCCGGGUCGUGCCUCCGGCACUGUUGCUUUGAAGAAAUUAGAGUGCUCAAAGCAAGCCUACACUCUGUAUACAUUAGCAUGGGAUAACAUUAUAGGAUUUCGGUCCUUUUACGUUGGCCUUCGGGAUCGGAGUAAUGAUUAACAGGGACAGUCGGGGGCAUUCGUAUUUCAUAGUCAGAGGUGAAAUUCUUGGAUUUUAGGACUUUGGUCCUAUUACGUUGGCCUUCGGGAUCGGAGUAAUGAUUAAGAGGGACAGUCAGGGGCAUUCGUAUUUCAUAGUCAGAUGUGAAAUUCUUCGAUAUAUGAAAGACAAAAAACUGCGAAAGCAUUUGCCAAGGAGGUUUUUCAUUAAUCAAGAAUAAAAGUUGGGGGCUCGAAGACAAUCAAAUACCGUCCUAGUCUCAACCAUAAACGAUACCGACCAGGGAUCAGCGGAGGUUGCUUUUAGGACUCCCGGCACCUUAUGAGAAAUCAAAGUUUUUAGGUUCCGGGGGGAUUAUGGUCGCAAGGCUUAACCUUAUAGGAAUUGACGGAAGGGCACAACCAGGAGUGGAUCCUGCGGCUUAAUUUGACUCAACACGGGGAAACUUACCAGGUCCAGACAUAGUAAGGAUUGAUAGAGUGAAAGCUCUUUCUUGAUUCUAUGGGUGGUGGUGCAUGGCCGUUCUUAGUUGGUGGAGCGAUUUGUCUGGUUAAUUCCAUUAACGAACGAGACCUAAGCCUAGCUCUUUCUUGAUUCUAUGGGUGGUGGUGCAUGGCCGUUCUUAGUUGGUGGAGCGAUUUGUCUGGUUAAUUCCAUUAACGAACGAGACCUGAGCCUGCUAACUAGCUAUGCAGAGGUAUCCCUUCGCGGCCAGCUUCUUAGAAGGACUACGCAUAAUAGGCCGCAGAAGUUUGAGGCAAUAACAUGUCUGUGAUGCCCUUAGAUGUUUUGGCCCGGGUAAUCUUUGAAAUUUCAUCGUGAUGGGGAUAGAUCAUUGCAAUUGUUGGUCUAUUACAAGGAAUUCCUAGUAAGCGCGAGCCAUCAGCUCGCGUUGACUACGUCCCUGCCCUUUGUACACACUGCCUGUCCCUCCUACCGAUUGAAUGAUCCAGUGCAAUGUGCGGAUCGUGGCGACGUGGGUGGUCUGAUGCCCGCAACGUCGCGAGAAGUCCAUUGAACCUUAUCAUUUAGAGAAAGGAGAAGUCGUAACAAGGUUUUCGUAGGUGAACCUGCAGAAAGAUCAUUGUCGAAACCUGUAUGGCAGAACGACCCGCAAACUUGUUUAAAAACUGGGGAAUGGUGCGGCCGGGAUGCUUCGGACUCUGUCCGUGCGACUUUCUCCAAUGUCCCCGACGCGCGUGCUCACGUGCGUGCCGGGUGAUUAACGAACCCCAGCGUAGAAAGUGCCAAGGAUACUAAAUUGAAAGCCUGCCCCUCGCGCCCUGUUCGCGGCGUGCGCGAGGGACUUGUGCUUCUUUUGAAACACAAGUGACUCUCGGCAAUGGAUAUCUCGGCUAUCGCAUCGAUGAAGAAUGUAGCGAAAUGCAAUACUUGGUGUGAAUUGCAGAAUCCCGUGAACCAUCGAGUCUUUGAACGCAAGUUGCACCCGAAGCCAUUGGGCCGAGGGAACAUUUACCGGGGCGUCACGCAUCGUGUCACCCCCGCACAACACGCCCAUUCUCAUGGUCGCGAUGCUGUCGUGGGACGGAUACUGGCCUCACAUGCACCUCGAGUGUGCAGUUGGCCUAAAUGAAAGUCUACAACGACGGACGUCACCACAAGUGGUGGUUGAAUCUCAACUCUCGUAAUGUCGCGUCUCCAACCCCUCGCAUGUUUGGUCUCCCGACCUUAUCGUGCAUAGGCGCUGCGACCGCGACCCCAGGUCUUGAAACACGAGGUGCUGUCUACGAGUCGGGUUGUUUAGGAAUGCAGCCCAAAUCAGGUGGUGAAUUCCAUCCAAGGCUAAGUACGGGCGAGAAACCGAUUACGAACAAGUACCGCGAGGGAAAGAUGAAAAGGACUUUGAAAAUAGAGUUAAAGUGUGCUUGAAAGUUUCUAGAGGAAGCGGAUAGUGGCCGACAAUGUGCACCGGUCGGAUGUGGAACGGUGUUGAGCCGGCCCGCCGAUCGAUUCAGGGCGUGGACGAACGUGGAUUGGGGGGGGCAACAUCGCUCAUGGCAGUUGAUACGCUCGUGGAAUGUCGUCUCCUUGAUUGUGGUAGGCAACUUGGCCUCUGGCGUGCUUCGGCAUCUACACGCUCCGGACGCUUGCCUGUGGGCUCUUCAUUCGACCCGUCUUGAAACACGGACCAAUGAGUCUGACAUGUGUGCGAGUCAACGGGUGAGUAAACCCGUAAGGCAUAAGGAAGCUGAUUGGUGUGACCCCCCUGAGGGGUGCACCGCCGACCGACCUUGAUCUUCUGUGAAGGGUUCGAGUAUGAGCAUACUUGUCAGGACCCGAAUGAUGGGGAACUAUGCCGGAGCGAGGCGAAGCCAGAGGAAAGACUAAUCGAACCGUCUAGUAGCUGGUUCCCUCUGAAGUUUCCCUCAGGAUUGCUGGAGCUCGCGUGCGAGUUCUAUCGGGUAAAGCCAAUGAUUAGAGGCAUCGGGGGCACAACGCCCUCGACCUAUUCUCAAACUUUAAAUAGCGUCGGUACCCGAAAGAUGGUUAACUAUGCCUGAGCGGGGCAAAGCCAGGGAAACUCUGGUGGAGGCCCGCAGCAAUACUUAAGUGCAAAUCAUUCGUCUGACUACGGAAUAGGGGCGAAGGUCUAAUCAACCCGUCUAGUAGCUGGUUCCCUCCGAAGUUUCCCUCAGGAUAGCUCGAGCUCGCGUGCAAGUUUUAUCGGGUAAAGCCAAUGAUUAGAGGAAUCGAGGGUGCAAUUCCCUCGACCUAUUCUCAAACUGUAAAUACGUAGGACGACGCAACCACUUUGUUGAGCCGCGCCAUGGAAUCAAGAGCUCCAUGUGGGCCAUUUUUGGUAAGCAGAACUGGCGAUGUGGGAUGAAUCGGAAGCCGGGUUACGGAGCCAAACUGCGUGCUAACCUAAAUCCCACAAAGGGUGUUGGUCGAUUAAGACAGCAGGACGGUGGUCAUGGAAGUCAAAAUCCACUAAGGAGUGUGUAACAACUCACCUACCGAAUCAACUAGCCCCGAAAAUGGAUGGCGCUUAAGUGCGCGAACUACACCAGGCCGUCGUGGCAAGUGUCAGGCCCCGAUGAGUAGGAGGGCGCAACUGUUGCUGCAAAACCUUGGGCGUGAGCCUGGGCUGAGCGGCUGUCGAUGCAGAUCUUAGUGAUAGUAGCAAAUAUUCAAAUGAGAACUUUGAAGGCCGAAGAGGGGAAAGGUUCCAUGUGAACGGCACUUGCACAUGGGUUAGUCGAUCCUUAGGGUUGGGGGAACCCCGAAAGAUAGCGCGUUUCGCGCGUAGUCCGAAAGGGAAUUGGAUUAAAAUUCCUGAACAGGGACGUGGCGGUUGACGACAACGUUGGAAAGUUUGAAGACGUCGGCGGGGGCCUCGGGAAGAGUUAUUUUUUCUGUUUAACAGCCUUCCCACCCUAUAAACGACAUAGUCAGAGGUAGGGUGCAGCGGCUGGAAGAGGGCCGCACGUCGCGUGGCGUCAAGUUCACCCCCGAUGGCCCUUGAAAAUUUGGAGGACCGAGUGUUGUCCACGCCCGGUCAAACUCAUAACCGCAUCAGGUCUCCAAGGUGAACAACCUCUGGUUGAUGGAAAAAUGUAGGCAAGAGAAGUUAGCAAAAUGGAUCCGUAUCUUCGGGAAUAGGAUUGGCUCUGAGGGCUGGAUACAGGGGUCCCAGUCUCGAACCCGUCGGCUAUUGGUGGACUGCUCAAGCUGCUCCCACAGUGUUGCUGUCAUCUGGUAUUUCCACUUCUGCGGAAAUGGACAGCAUAAGCAGUUCUGCAAAAGAGUGUAAGGAAGCGCAGAAGCGAUAGGGUGCAGAGAUGAGGAGUUUCAGAGAAAUGGAACUUGGUCCGCAUUAGCGGGUCCGCAGGAGCGAACUUUAAGCCACAUAAGCGGAAUUGGGGGAUCUGCAGAAGUGGGACCUUGGACGCAGAAGCGAUCGUGGAGGAGUUAGGUCAAAACUGCAGAAGCGGUUACUGGGACGCGGAAGCGAUACCGCAAAAGCGGUUAUGGGAAGCGCAGAAGCGAAAACUGGAUUGUGUUUAACGAACAGUGACUUUGCGAAUUUUAAAAAGAGCAACCACUUUUUUUUUUGGUAAUCCACUAGGCAAUAGCCUAGGGCUAGGUUUUUAUUAAUAGCAAACAAGAAAAUACAAAAAAUAGGAAAAGUACAAAUAAGGGGGCAUUAGCACCAGUAUUGUUACCCAUAUAACACAUACCAGGCUAAACUUACCAUACUAAAUCCUAUUGAGGCUUGACAACCUCACUUAUUAACAGGAAUGCCAUAUAACACAUACCAGGCUAAACUUACCAUACUAAAUCCUAUUGAGGCUUGACAACCUCACUUAUUAACAAGAAUGCAACAAUACGAACUUGACAUGCCCAAAUAUGCUAUGAUCAUCACAGAGUUUGAAGCAUACUCUGUGAUGAGAUUACAAAUGAGUACACUAAAAAAGUGGCAGAUUAAAAAGGUGAAAAAGUUAUAAGGAUGUCCCUUUUUGUUGAUCCUUGCAAUUUCUUCAAUUUGUAAUUCUUUAUCACCAUCAUCCCAAUUCUUCAAGAAGUAUUCAAAAAUCAUGAUUUCUUUUUAGAUUGAUUAGACUUUGUUGACGUAGUUGGGGCGGCCUGCUUAAGCUUUGAUCACGUGACUGUACUGUUUGCUUAAUCUUAACCCAUGCAUGUUUAAGUUUAUGCAUAUUUUAUAGUCAAACCUUUUACUCUCAAAAUAACCCUAAUUUUAGAGAUUUAUUUCAGACUACUAUUAUGCAGGCCUAAUUGGUUCUUUCCUUGUCUGAUUUGGACCUGUUUUCUGACUUAAUUCAUAACUGAGCUCGAAUCCCUAAUUCCUUGAUUUACCUGUGUUAAUUGAUUUUACUCAUGCCUUAUUUGCCUAAACCGAGUAUUUUAAAACUUCUCUUAUGUAUUUACCCUUUAUUACACAAUGUGUUCCUGAUUUUCUUUCCUAAAAUAAAACUCUGCCUUUAGUAUUCUAAGUUUGAACUCCUUAAUUAAAGGUUCCCUUCUCCUAAUUGAUUAUGAUUGAUACUAGAUUAUUUUCUGCCUUAUUUGAUUGCCAUUUUUCAAACUAUAAAUAACCCACUCCCUUUCUUUAAACAAAUGAACGCCCGGGAAUGAACUGGGAACGGUUCCUUCAGGGGCCUUCCCCGGGCGUCGAACAACCAACUCAGAACUUGUACGGACAAGGGCAAUCCGAUUGUUUAAUUAAAACAAAGAAUUGCGAUGGUCCUUGCGAUUAUUUACGCAAUGUGAUUUCUGCCUAGUGCUCUAAAUGUCAAAGUGAAGAAAUUCAACCAAGCGCGGGCAAACGGCGGGAGUAACUAUGACUCUCUAAAGGUAUCCAAAAGCCUCAUCAUCUAAUUAGUGACGCGCAUGAAUGGAUUAACGAGAUUCCCACUGGCCCUGUCUACUAUCCAGCGAAACCACAGCCAAGGGAACGGGCUUGGCAGAAUCAAUGGGGAAAGAAGACCCUGUUGAGCUUGACUAUUGUCCGACUUUGUGAAAUGACUUGAGAGGUGUAGUAUAAGUGGGAACCGAAAGGAAAAAGUGAAAUACCACUACCUUUUAACGUUAUUUUACUUAUUCCGUGAAUCGGAAGAGGGGCACUGGCCCUCUUUUUGGACCCAAGGCUUGUUUGCAAGCCGAUCCGGGUGGAAGACAUUGUCAGGUGGGGAGUUUGGCUUGGGCGGCACAUCCGUUAAAGGAUAACGCAGGUGUCCUAUGAUGAGAUCAACGAGAACAAAAAUAUCGUGUGGUACAAAAGGGUAAAAUAUCAUUUGAUUCUAAUUUCCAGUACAAAUACGAACUGUGAAACCAUGGUCUAACGAUCCUUUAGACCUUCGGAAUUCAAAGCUAGAGGUGUCAAAAAAGUUACCACAGGGAUAACUAGCUUGUGGCAGCGAAGGGUUCAUAGAGACGUUGCUUUUUGAUCCUUCGAUGUCGGCUGUUCCUAUCAUUGUGAAGAUGAAUUCACCAAGUGUUGGAUUGUUUACCCACCAAUAAGGAACGCGAGAUGGGUUUAGACCGUUGUGAGACAGGUUAGUUUUACCCUUCUGAUGACAGUGUCGCAAUAGUAAUUCAACCUAGUACGAGAAGAACUGUUGAUUCGCACAAUUGGUCAUUGCGCUUGGUUGAAAAGCCAGUGGCGCGUAGCUACCGUGCGCUGGAUUAUGACUUAAUGCCUCAAAGUCAGAAUCCGGGCUAGAAGCGACACAUGCGCGCGACAUCCGCUUGCCGAACCGCAUUAGGGGCCUUUGGCCCCCAAGGGCACGUGUCGUUGGCUAACUCAUCGCGGCGGAAGAGCAGCGGUGGCCGCCUUAAAGUACAAUUUCCAUCGAGCGGCGGAUAGAAUCCUUUGCAAACAACUUAAACACACGACGGGGUAUUGUAAGUGGCAGAGUGGCCUUGCUCCCAUGAUCCAAUGAGAUUCAGCCCUUUGUCGCUCCAAUUUGUCCCUCUCCCUCCAAUGCAAUCAUUUUCUAACUUUUCCGAUAAGAGGUUCACUCCUACCUUGAUGAUAUAUUAUACUAAAUAUUGGAAAUAUCGAACAAGUCCUCAAGACCUUGGAACGUAUACUAUUUGUGCAUUAAGUGGACAAUGUCACUUGACACUUAGUCACGUCGAGGGCAAUACCAAACAAAAUUAGACUACUAGAGGCUUUUCGGGGUGUCUCUUGAGAGGUCGAGGCCUAUGCUAAGGUUUUUCGAGGUGUCGCUUAAGAGGCCAAGGCCUAUGCCACGAGCGCAAGGCGUGGCCAUGGCAUGUGUUAGGACGUCCCUGAACAUGGCAGGGUGUGGCCAUGGCACGGGCUAGGACGUGUCACUACGUCGCAGGACAUGGAAGGACAAGGGUCGGGAUGUGUCAAGAAGUCGUAGGACAUGGCAGGGCGUUGCCAUGGUACGAGUCAGGACGCGUCAGGACAUGGCCAUGGCACAUGUCAGGACGCGUCAAGACAUGGCAAGGCGUGUCCAUGGCAUGAGUCAGGACAUUGCAGGUCAUGGCAGGGCGUGGCCAUGGCACGAGUCAGGACGUUAUGGGACGCGUCAGGACAUGGCCAUGGCACGUGUAAGGACGCGUCAGGACAUGGCAGUGGCACGUGCCAAGACGCGUCAAGACAAGGUAGGGCGUGGCCAUGGCAUGACUCAUGAUGUCGCAGGACAUGGCAUGAGUCAGGACGUCGCAGGAUGCGUCAGGACAAUGCCAUGGUACAUGUCAGGAUGCAUCAGGACAUCGACAUGGCACGUGUCAGGACGUGUCCGGACAUGGCAAGGCAUGGCCAUGGCAUGAGUCGAGACAGCGCAGGACAUUGCAGGGCGUGGCCAUAGCACGAGUCGGGACGUCGAAGGACGCGUCAGGACAUGGCCAUGGCACAUGGGAGGGCGCGUCAGGACAUGGCAGUAUCACAUGUCAAGACAUGGGAGGGCGUGGCCAUGACAUGACUCAUGACGCGCAGGACAUGGCAGGGCAUGGCCAUGGCACGAUUCAGGACGUCGCCGGACGCAUCAGGACAUGGCCAUGGUACGAGUCAGGACGCAUCAGGACAUGGCCAUGGCACGUGUCUGGACGCAUUAGGACAUGGCAGGGCGUGGGCAUAGCACGAGUCGGGACAUCGCAGGACAUGGCAGGGUGUGGCCAUGGCACGAGUCUGGACGUCGCAGGACGCGUCAGGACAUGUCCAUGGCACAUUUCAGGACAUGGCAGGGCGUGGCCAUAGCACGGGUCAGGACGUUGCAAGACAUGGCAGGAUAUGGCCAUGGUAUGUGUUUGGAUGUGUCAGGACAUGGCCAUGGCACGACGUCGCACCAAACCGCACCACGACGCUCCAAGCCGCACCACGUCGCACCAAGACGCACCACGUGGCACCACGUCUAUUGCUAGCCAAUUCUUAUAAACAUGUCAAGCGCAAUGAUGUUGGUGAUCGUUGGCGGCAGUGGUGGAAAGUCGGGGUGGUUCGAGCGGUAGCAUCCGGCGACGGUCGGUCGAUGCUUUGUCGUUGGCGGCGAUUGCUUCAAAUCCUAAUCACUUGUUGUGGUUGGGCAACAUGUCAAGCGCAAUGAUGUUUCUGGUCGUUGGUGGCGGUGGUGGAAAGUCGCGGUGGUUCGAGCAGUAUCCACCGGCGACGGUUGGUCCACGCUUUGUGGUUGGCAGCGGUUUUUUCAAAUCGAAGUCCCUUGCUGUGGUUGCGACAAUGGAGGUGCCUCGUGCUUAUUGGAGGUUGGUCAUCUAUACGCUUUUAUAAUAAUAUUAUGUAUUUUUCCUAUUUUUAAUAUAUUUUUUAGUAAUAUUUAUGCUUUUUUUGUUAUUUUAUAUUAUAUUUAUGUCACUUUUUAAUAAAACCUUUUACUCUUUUAUAUGUUAUCCUAUUACAAGUUGCAUUGGAAUUUUUCUCCAUCAUUAAUAUAUGUUUUAUUAAUGUUUAUGCAUUUUUUGUUAAUUAAAAUUAUGUUUAUGUCACUUUUUAAUAAAAAUAUUUUCUCUUUUAUAUGUUAUACUAUUACAAGACGUAUUGGAAUUUUUCUCCAUCAUUUUUUCUAUUUUUAUAAUAAUUUUCAUAUUUUUAGUAUUUUAUUAAUUAUUUUUCGUUUUGGAAUAUAAUAUUUCAAAAAAAUAUUAAUUAUUAGUAAAAAAUAUGUCACUUUUUAAUAAAAAUAUUUUCUCUUUUAUAUGUUAUACUAUUACAAGACGUAUUGGAAUUUUUCUCCAUCAUUUUUUCUAUUUUUAUAAUAAUUUUCAUAUUUUUAGUAUUUUAUUAAAGUAUUUUUCGUUUUUACAUAAAAAUAUUUCAAAAAAAAAGAUUAUUUUUUUGUAAAAAAUAUUAUUUACUAUGUGUAAAAGUCAUUUGUGAAUAUAUUAGCCAAGUUGUACUUUGGUUUGUGCUAUUUGGUGUUGUACAUGUCUAUUAUGAUUCUCUUGCCAAAACAUGUGUACUCUUGAAACUUGGGUUUUCUUUUUUAAGCAUAUAUAAGGGGGGUAGAGGUGUUGAGAGGCACCUUAGGUGCUUGCUGCCAGGAAGGGCGGGCAUGCAUGGGGGAAGCUCAGUACUUGUUGAUCGCCAUUGAAUGCUGCGGCCAAAAUCGAUAGGCGACAUCGCUCGUGGUGGCUGAUGGCUUUUUACAAGAGAAUGGCAAAGCGUCGUGCAUGUAGCGCCGCAAGGUGCUGCGCCCAUAUGGAGAAGCGUAUGUAAGUUGUCGAUUGCCAUUGGUUGUUGUGGGUUGUGUCUGGAAUCUCUCGUGGCGGCUGAUGGCUUUCGACAACGAACGGCGGAGCGUCGUGCAAGUACCGCUGCAAGGUGCCAUGCACAUGGAGCGAAGCUCAGUAGAUGUCGAUUGCCACCACUUGUUACGGGAUACAUCGCUCAUGGCGGUUGAUGGCUUUCGACAAUGGAACGACUGAGCGUCGUGCAAGUAGCGCUACAAGGUUCCGUGCGCAUGGGGCGAAGCUUUGUAAGUUGCCUAUUGCUAUCGAUUGUUGUGGGUUGUCUCUGUUAACCCCCAUCCAUGGCAGCUUAUGGCUUUUGACAAUGAACGGCGGAGCAUCAUGCGAGUAGCACCGCAAGGUGCUGUGCGCACGGGGCGAAGCUCAGUAGAUGUUCAUUGCCAUCGGUUGUUGCGGGAAACAUCGGGAGGUGACAUCAUUCGUGGCGGCUGAUGGCCUUUGGCAACAUAAUGGAAAAGCAUCGUGCAAGUAACGCCGUAAGGUUCCAUGUGCACGGGGCGAAGCUUAGUAAGUUGCUGAUUGCCAUCGGUUGUUGCGGGCAACAUCAGGAGGCAACAUUGCUUGUGGCGGCUGAUGGCUUUUGGCAACAAAUGGCAAAGCAUCGUGCAAGUAGAGCCGCAAGGUGUCGUGCUCACGGGGCGAAUCUUAGUAAGUUGCUGAUUGCCAUCAGUUGUUGCGGGAAACAUCGGAAGGCGACAUCGCUUGUGGCGGCUUAUGGCUUUUCGCAGUGGAACGGCAAAGCUGUUGCAGAUUGCCAUCGUUUGUUGCGGGAAAAAUCGGGAGGUAACAACGCUCAUGGCGGCUGAUGGCUUUUGGCAAUAAAAUGGCAAAGCAUUGUGCAAGUAGCGCUGCUAGGUGCCGUGCUCAUGGGCCAAGCUUAGUAAGUUGCUGAUUGCCAUUAGUUGUUGCGGGAAACAUUGGAAGACGACAUCGUUCGUGGCGGCUGAUGGCUUUUUGCAAUGGAACAACAAAGCAUCGUGCAAGUAGCGCCGCAAUGUGCCAUGCGCAUGAGGCGAAGCUCAGUAAAUUGCCUAUUGCCAUCGGUUUUUGUGGGUUGUAUCUGGCAUUGUUCAAACCCCCUAUUCGUGCUUUGAGGGGCUUGUCUUGGCUUUGCAAUGUUGGCAUCGGCAACAACAGUUGUUGGUCGUUGGCGGCGGUGGUGGAAAGUCGGGGUGGUUCGAGCGGUAGCGUCGGGCGACAGCCGGUCGACGCUUGGUGGUUGGCGUAGCCUAUUCGUGCUUUGAGGGGCUUGUCUUGGCUUUGCAAUGUUGGCAUCGGCAACAACACAUGGCUGUGCGUCACGUGUUGGGGCUGGUGUUUGCUUUGUAUCGGCGAGGCAAGUAUACAUGCGACACAUGAGUGGUGUUCGGCUUGUGUGUCUAGGUUGGAUCCCUACUCGAGAAGUGACGUCCUAGCUCGCAUGCCAUCUCAGUCAUGUCACAAGCGUAAAUUAGGCCUGUUUGAUGUCGGUUUUCUGUGUUGCAUACGUAAUGCCAAGGCAUUAUCAAGCACAAUUUGUCGACAUUUGCCCCUUGCGUUCGACGUGUGGGGAGAAACAAAUGCUGCAGUUGUGUCUUAGGUCGUCCUAGCUUCACCUUGCGAUGACUUGGUCCACGACUUAGCAUGCUCGGGCUCUCGAAUCCAGUAAACGCAAUGGGCACGGGGCCUUCAUUGGCUCCUAUCUUGCCAAAGAAUUCUCCUUACGUAUGAUGGUCGUGCUCGCCUUGGACUUGGCCGUGCCCUUUUGGGUCGGCCAUGCUCAUGGGACGCCGGCGUCAAUGAGGAAUGCUACCUGGUUGAUCCUGCCAGUAGUCAUAUGUUUGUCUCAAAGUAUGCCAUGCAUGUGUAAGUAUGAAAAAAGUCAGACUGUGAUACUGCGAAUGGGUCAUUAAAUCGAUUAUAGUUUGUUUGAUGGUAUCCACUACUCCGAUAACCAUAGUAAUUCAAGAACUAAUACUUGCAACAAACCCCGACUUCUGGAAGGGAUGCAUUUAUUAGAUAAAAGGUCGACGCGGGCUCUGCAUGUUGCUGUGAUGAUUCAUGAUAACUCAACAGAUCGCACGACCAUCGUGCCGGCGACGCAUCAUUCAAAUUUAUGCCCUAUCAACUUUCGAUGGUAGGAUAGUGGGCUACCAUAGGGGUGACGGGUGACGGAGAAUUAGGGUUUGAUUCCGGAGAGGGAGCCUGAGAAACGACUACCACGUCCAAGGAAGGCAGCAGGCGUGCAAAUUACCCAAUCUUGACACGUGGAGGUAGUGACAAUAAAUAAUAAUACCGCGCUUUAUGAGUCUUGUUAUUGGAAUGAGUACAAUCUAAAUCUCUUAACGAGGAACCAUUGGAGGGAAAGUCUGAUGGCAGCAGCCGUGGUAAUUCCUGCUCCAGUAGCGUAUAUUUAAAUUGUUGCAGUUAAAAAGUUCGUAGUUGGACUUUGGGAUGGGCUGGCCGGUGGGCCUUAGGUGUGUAGGUCAUCUUGGCGCUUCUGCCGGUGAUGCGCUCCUGGCCUAAAUAGGCCAGGCCGUGCCUCCGGCGCUGUUACUUUGAAGAAAUUAGAGUGCUCAAAGCAAGCCUACGCUCUGUAUACAUUAGCAUGGAAUAACAUUAUAGGAUUUAGGUCCUACUACAUUAGUCUUCGGGAUCAGAGUAAUGAUUAACAUGGACAGUCGGGGGCAUUUGUAUUUCAUAGUCAGAGGUGAAAUUCUUGGAUUUAUGAAAGACGAACAACUGCGAAAACAUUUGCCAAGGAUGUUUUCAUUAAUCAAGAACGAAAGUUGGCGGGUCGAAGAUGAUCAGAUACCGUCCUAGUCUCAACCAUAAACGAUGCCGACCAGGGAUCGGCGGANNNNNNNNNNNNNNNNNNNNNNNNNNNNNNNNNNNNNNNNNNNNNNNNNNNNNNNNNNNNNNNNNNNNNNNNNNNNNNNNNNNNNNNNNNNNNNNNNNNNNNNNNNNNNNNNNNNNNNNNNNNNNNNNNNNNNNNNNNNNNNNNNNNNNNNNNNNNNNNNNNNNNNNNNNNNNNNNNNNNNNNNNNNNNNNNNNNNNNNNNNNNNNNUAAGUUUCUGGGUUCUGGGGGGAGUAUGGUCGCAAGGCUGAAACUUAAAGGAAUUGACGGAAGGGCACCACCAUGAGUGGAGCCGGC
rnacentral:lncRNA from 1 species